GAUUUCUGGUUCGGCGCACUUGGCCCGCCUCGGUUUACGGGGUUGUGUGCCGGUGUGCGCCAUCCAUCCUUCGAGAGAACACUUCUGCCCUUCACUGGGAGGGAAGUGCAAUCUCGAUCUUUUACUUUGAAAAAAUUAGAGUGUUUAAAGCAGGCUUGCGCUAUGAAUACAUUAGCAUGGAAUAAUAAUUUAGGACUUUGGUCUUAUUUUGUUGGUUUCUAGGACUAAAGUAAUGAUUGAUAGGGAUAGUUGGGGGUGCUAGUAUUCAGCGGCCAGAGGUGAAAUUCUUGGAUUCGCUGAAGACUAACUUAUGCGAAAGCAUU
rnacentral:rRNA from 1 species